rnacentral:rRNA from 1 species
GAUGAACGCUGGCGGCGUGCCUAAUACAUGCAAGUCGAGCGAACAGACGAGGAGCUUGCUCCUCUGACGUUAGCGGCGGACGGGUGAGUAACACGUGGAUAACCUACCUAUAAGACUGGGAUAACUUCGGGAAACCGGAGCUAAUACCGGAUAAUAUAUUGAACCGCAUGGUUCAAUAGUGAAAGACGGUUUUGCUGUCACUUAUAGAUGGAUCCGCGCCGCAUUAGCUAGUUGGUAAGGUAACGGCUUACCAAGGCGACGAUGCGUAGCCGACCUGAGAGGGUGAUCGGCCACACUGGAACUGAGACACGGUCCAGACUCCUACGGGAGGCAGCAGUAGGGAAUCUUCCGCAAUGGGCGAAAGCCUGACGGAGCAACGCCGCGUGAGUGAUGAAGGUCUUCGGAUCGUAAAACUCUGUUAUUAGGGAAGAACAAAUGUGUAAGUAACUAUGCACGUCUUGACGGUACCUAAUCAGAAAGCCGCGGCUAACUACGU